rnacentral:rRNA from 1 species
GACGAACGCUGGCGGCGUGCCUAAUACAUGCAAGUUGAGCGCUGAAGGUUGGUACUUGUACCAACUGGAUGAGCAGCGAACGGGUGAGUAACGCGUGGGGAAUCUGCCUUUGAGCGGGGGACAACAUUUGGAAACGAAUGCUAAUACCGCAUAAAAACUUUAAACACAAGUUUUAAGUUUGAAAGAUGCAAUUGCAUCACUCAAAGAUGAUCCCGCGUUGUAUUAGCUAGUUGGUGAGGUAAAGGCUCACCAAGGCGAUGAUACAUAGCCGACCUGAGAGGGUGGUCGGCCACAUUGGGACUGAGACACGGCCCAAACUCCUACGGGGGGCAGCAGUAGGGGAUCUUCGGCAAUGGACGAAAGUCUGACCGAGCAACGCCGCGUGAGUGCAGAAGGGUUUCGGAUCGUAAAACUCUGUUGGUAGAGAAGAACGUUGGUGAGAGUGGAAAGCUCAUCAAGUGACGGUAACUACCCAGAAAGGGACGGCUAACUACGUG